rnacentral:ncRNA from 1 species
GACCUCGUCCCAAUCUUGAAAUCAAUUUUAACUUAACCUACACAUGCAAGUCUCCGCACCCCUGUGAAAACGCCCUCAACCCCUAUUAGGCCUGAUUGGAGCAGGUAUCAGACCAAACUACUUAUCCAAGACACCUAGCCUCGCCACACCCACAAGGGCCAUUGCAGCAGUGACUAAUAUUGAACAUAAGCGACAGCUUGAUUCAGUUAAAGUUUUACGGGCUGGCAAAGCUAGUGCCAGUCGCCUCGGUUAAACUACGUCAGCCCAAAUUGAUCUCACUCGGCGUAAAGCGUGAUUAGCCACCCUCCCCCUUAGAGUUAAAACUUAUAAUCUAACUACAAACCCAGCCACGAAAGUCACUCUAUGCACCUUAACCUCACGACAACUAGGACCCAAACUGAGAUUAGAUACCUCACUAUGCCUAGUCGUAAACUAGGACUUACACCACAAUCGCCAGGGAACUACGAGCAAAGCUUAAAACCCAAGGGACUUGACGGUGCCCCACAGCCCCUAGAGGAGCCUGUCCUAUAAUCGAUAACCCGCGCUAAACCUCACCAUUUCUAGCUUCCAGCCUGUAUACCUCCGCCGUCAGCUGUCCGUUUGAACGUAAUAAAGCAAUGCCAAAUGUUUACACAAAUAAAUACUUUACCCCGACUUAUGUCCACAAUAGACGUUACGUCAGGUCAAGGUGCCGUCAAUGAAAUGGGAAGAGAUGGGCUACACUUCCUAAGAUAGGAAACGAAAGACAUCCUGAAAUUUAUGUCAGAAGCCGGAUUUAGGAGUAAGAUAAUAACAGAACGAUUUUCUUAACCACCAAUUGGGGCGCGUACUCACCGCC